UCCUGCGGAGACGCGGGAGUGCCUUCGGGAACUGUAAGACAGGUGCUGCAUGGCUGUCGUCAGCUCGUGUUGUGAAAUGUUGGGUUAAGUCCCGCAACGAGCGCAACCCUUAUCCUUGUUUGCCAGCGAGUAAUGUCGGGAACUCCAGGGAGACUGCCGGUGAUAAACCGGAGGAAGGUGGGGACGACGUCAAGUCAUCAUGGCCCUUACGAGUAGGGCUACACACGUGCUACAAUGGCGCAUACAGAGGGCGGCGAGCUAGCGAUAGUGAGCGAAUCCCAAAAAGUGCGUCGUAGUCCGGAUUGGAGUCUGCAACUCGACUCCAUGAAGUCGGAAUCGCUAGUAAUCGUGGAUCAGAAUGCCACGGUGAAUACGUUCCCGGGCCUUGUACACACCGCCCGUCACACCAUGGGAGUGGGCUGCAAAAGAAGCAGGUAGUUUAACCUUCGGGAGGACGCUUGCCACUUUGUGGUUCAUGACUGGGGUGAAGUCGUAACAAGGUAGCGCUAGGGGAACCUGGCGCUGGAUCACCUCCUUACGUAAAGA
rnacentral:rRNA from 2 species